GACAACCCUGCAGGUGCUCACCCUGCUGCUGAACAAAUUUAGGGUGGAAGAUGGCCCCAGUGAGUUCGCACUCUACAUCGUUCACGAGUCUGGGGAGCGGACAAAAUUAAAAGACUGCGAGUACCCGCUGAUUUCCAGAAUCCUGCAUGGGCCAUGUGAGAAGAUCGCCAGGAUCUUCCUGAUGGAAGCUGACUUGGGCGUGGAAGUCCCCCAUGAAGUGAGUGGGGGCCAAGGCUGGGGAGGCCUGCUCUAGGGUGAGGGGUUCUUGGGUGACGGGGCCUCCCAAGGACUCCUGGCCAGAGCCCUGUCAGUUGAUGUCUCCAGGAGCUCCACACUCUCCCAAAGGGCUCCCAGCCUAGCACAGGGAGGCGCCAGCCCUCCCUCUCCCAUCAGUGACCGCCAGCACCAGCAGCUUAGGGGAAAGAAGAAUUUGGGUCCUAUAAAACCAUGGCCUGUCCUUUUCCUCUAGGGAAGUAAAGUCUUUUCCUUCA
rnacentral:lncRNA from 1 species